rnacentral:rRNA from 1 species
UACAGAGACCUCAAGCGUUAUCCGGAAUCAUUGGGCGUAAAGCGUACCGAUCGGUGGUUUUACAAGUCAGAGGUGAAAUCUCUCAGCUCAACUGGGAGACUGUCCUUUGAAACUGUAAAGCUAGAGGGGCAAAGAGGAAGCUGGAACGAACGGUGUAGUAGUGAAAUGCGUUGAUAUCGUUCGGAACACCAAUAGCGAAGGCAGGCUUCUGGGUGCCACCUGACACUGCUAGGACGAAAGCGUGGGUAGCGAAUGGG